rnacentral:piRNA from 1 species
UACUGUUGAAGAAUUAUUGUAUCAUAAGGGU